rnacentral:ncRNA from 2 species
CUUCAAGGCAGGGUGUAAUUCCCGACCGGUGGUGAUAGUCCACAAGCAGAGGCAUGAUUUGGUGAAAUUCCAAAACCGAUAGUAUAGUCUAGAUGGGAGAAGAUU